rnacentral:ribozyme from 1 species
UGCCCAGCAACUCCUAUCCCUACCUCCUCGCCGUACUGGCCGGGGUACGAGCAACCUUAGGGAAGAUCGGGUAACCAACCCCGGUGGGAGAUUUGGUCAUAUGCUGACAGGGAAGA